rnacentral:tRNA from 1 species
GCCGUUUUGGCUCAGUUGGCUAGAGCAACUGGUUUUGUAAAUUGUGUGUCCUGGGUUUGAGCCUGAGAAGCGGCU